ACAUGAAUCACCUGGGGGUCUUGCUGAAAUGCAGAUUUUGAUCAGUAUGUCUGGUGUGGGACCUGACAAUCUGAAUUUCUAACUAUCUCCCAAAUAAUGCUUGG
rnacentral:pre_miRNA from 1 species